rnacentral:lncRNA from 1 species
CUACACAAAGCACUUUUAAUAAAUAAUUGAGCUUUAGUAUUUAGAAGUACCCUAUCUGCUUCUUGAGUUGUCAUUUCAUCUUUUGUCUUUCGAGUAGUAGAGUCUUUUACUAAUGGAGUAUAGUCACCAACUUCAAUCACUGUCCACAUGUGCGUAUCUUGUGAUCUAAGAAAUAGUUCCAUCUUGUCUUUCCAAUAGUAGUAGUCAUCUCCUUCAAAUAGUGGUGGCCUAUGUGAAGAUCCUCCUUCUAAUAUAAACUUUGCGCUUUUAUUCAUUACUUCCUUCC